rnacentral:rRNA from 1 species
UCGAGCAGAUACGAAAGUAGGGCUUAGUGAUCCGGCGGUGCUGGAUGGAAAGGCCGUCGCUCAUCAGAUAAAAGGUACUCCGGGGAUAACAGGCUUAUCGCUUCCGAGCGUCCAUAGCGGCGAAGCGGUUUGGCACCUCGAUGUCGGCUCAUCACAUCCUGGGGGUGGAGAAGCUCCCAAGGGUUUGGCUGUUCGCCAAUGAAAGUGGUACGUGAGCUGGGUUCAGACCGUCGUGAGACAGGUCGGUCCCUAUCUACUGUGGGCGCACGAGACUUGAGGAGGUUCUUCUUUAGUACGAGAGGAUUUAGAAGGACGACCCUCUGGUGUUCCUGUUGUCGCGCUAGCGGCACGGCAGGGUAGCUAAGGUCGGAACGGAUAAACGCUGAAGGCAUCUAAGCGUGAAGCCCGCUCCAAGAUUAGGUCUCGUUGGGUAAUACCCGAAAGUCCCCUGGAAGACGACCAGGUUGAUAGGCCGGAUGUGUAAGUGCAGUAAUGCAUUCAGCUAACCGGUACUAACGGACUAACGCUUGGCCAC